rnacentral:rRNA from 1 species
AGAUUGAACGCUGGCGGCAGGCCUAACACAUGCAAGUCGAGCGGUAGAGAGGUGCUUGCAUCUCUUGAGAGCGGCGGACGGGUGAGUAAUGCCUAGGAAUCUGCCUAGUGGGUGGGGGAUAACGUUCGGAAACGGACGCUAAUACCGCAUACGUCCUACGGGAGAAAGCGGGGGACCUUCGGGCCUCGCGCCAUUAGAUGAGCCUAGGUCGAUUAGCUAGUUGGUGAGGUAAUGCUCACCGAAGGCGACGAUCCGUAACUGGUCUGAGAGGAUGACUCAGUCAACACUGGAACUGGAGACACGGUCCAGACCACCGUACGGGUGCAGCAGUCGAGAAUCUA